rnacentral:rRNA from 1 species
ACGCUGGCGGCGUGCCUAAUACAUGCAAGUAGAACGCUGAAGAGAGGAGCUUGCUCUUCUUGGAUGAGUUGCGAACGGGUGAGUAACGCGUAGGUAACCUGCCUUGUAGCGGGGGAUAACUAUUGGAAACGAUAGCUAAUACCGCAUAACAAUGGAUGACACAUGUCAUUUAUUUGAAAGGGGCAAUUGUUCCACUACAAGAUGGACCUGCGUUGUAUUAGCUAGUAGGUGAGGUAAUGGCUCACCUAGGCGACGAUACAUAGCCGACCUGAGAGGGUGAUCGGCCACACUGGGACUGAGACACGGCCCAGACUCCUACGGGAGGCAGCAGUAGGGAAUCUUCGGCAAUGGGGGCAACCCUGACCGAGCAACGCCGCGUGAGUGAAGAAGGUUUUCGGAUCGUAAAGCUCUGUUGUAAGUCAAGAACGGGUGUGAGAGUGGAAAGUUCACACUGUGACGGUAGCUUACCAGAAAGGGACGGCUAACUACGUGCCAGCAGCCGCGGUAAUACGUAGGUCCCGAGCGUUGUCCGGAUUUAUUGGGCGUAAAGCGAGCGCAGGCGGUUUGAUAAGUCUGAAGUUAAAGGCUGUGGCUCAACCAUAGUUCGCUUUGGAAACUGUCAAACUUGAGUGCAGAAGGGGAGAGUGGAAUUCCAUGUGUAGCGGUGAAAUGCGUAGAUAUAUGGAGGAACACCGGUGGCGAAAGCGGCUCUCUGGUCUGUAACUGACGCUGAGGCUCGAAAGCGUGGGGAGCGAACAGGAUUAGAUACCCUGGUAGUCCACGCCGUAAACGAUGAGUGCUAGGUGUUGGAUCCUUUCCGGGAUUCAGUGCCGCAGCUAACGCAUUAAGCACUCCGCCUGGGGAGUACGACCGCAAGGUUGAAACUCAAAGGAAUUGACGGGGGCCCGCACAAGCGGUGGAGCAUGUGGUUUAAUUCGAAGCAACGCGAAGAACCUUACCAGGUCUUGACAUCCCGAUGCUAUUUCUAGAGAUAGAAAGUUACUUCGGUACAUCGGUGACAGGUGGUGCAUGGUUGUCGUCAGCUCGUGUCGUGAGAUGUUGGGUUAAGUCCCGCAACGAGCGCAACCCCUAUUGUUAGUUGCCAUCAUUCAGUUGGGCACUCUAGCGAGACUGCCGGUAAUAAACCGGAGGAAGGUGGGGAUGACGUCAA